UACGAAGGUGGCAAGCGUUACUCGGAAUUACUAGGCGUAAAGGGCAGGUAGGUGGUUCGGUAAGUCUGUUGUGAAAUCUCCGGGCUUAACUCGGAAAGGUCAACUGAUACUGUGCGGCUAGAGUGCAGAAGGGGCAACUGGAAUUCUCGGUGUAGCGGUGAAAUGCGUAGAUAUCGAGAGGAACACCUGCGGCGAAGGCGGGUUGCUGGGCUGACACUGACGCUGAUGCGCGAAAGCCAGGGGAGCGAACGGG
rnacentral:rRNA from 1 species